rnacentral:rRNA from 1 species
UACGAAGGGUGCAAGCGUUAAUCGGAAUUACUGGGCGUAAAGCGUGCGUAGGCGGUUUGUUAAGUCUGUUGUGAAAUCCCCGGGCUCAACCUGGGAAUGGCAAUGGAUACUGGCAAGCUAGAGUGUGAUAGAGGAUGGUGGAAUUCCCGGUGUAGCGGUGAAAUGCGUAGAUAUCGGGAGGAACAUCGAUGGCGAAGGCGGCAUCCUGGACCGACAUUGACGCUGAGGAGCGAAAGCUAGGGGAGCAAACGGG